ACUUGACCUCAAAUCAGGCGGGACU
rnacentral:rRNA from 1 species